CAGAAUUUCGAAGCGUAAUCUAUGUUGUGAUUUUAUUGUGUGAGUGUAAAAUAGAAUAUGUGGGGUGUUAUUGUACAAUAUACUAAUGUGGAUUAUCACAUUCACAGAUUAUGCCCUACGAGUGUUUGACAAAAUACCGCAAAGAGCAUUUUAAAUACUUUGACCUUUGGUAAAGUUUAAUCAUUUUCGAAUAUGAACUAAUUUGAUGAGGCUUCCUGAAUUCUUAUUUGAUUCAAUGAUGUGCAGGUCACCAACAAAGGUUUAUUCUAAUCUCAAGGUUGCACAACUCAUAUGCCUCUCUAUUCAGAAAGAUAGCUAACAAUGCUUAUUGUCUAUUGUUUCCUUCCACACCUCUAUUGUGAGUAUCACUGCGCUUUAUCUUUGAGAAAUUUUAAGCUUAGUAACUUGUUCAUUGAGAAGAAUAUGUUUCCUUCAAUAUAUUGGGAAUCAAGAAGUCAUAGUGUUUCUUUGUUCUUUGUGUCCUGUAUAUGUGGGUGUCUGUUUGAGUUUGUAUCUCUUUUUCUUUUUCCUUUUUCUCUUUCAGUAUUAUUUUUUUGACUAAAGAUAUUCACUGCUAAACAAUAUUUUUGUUUUAAGUAAAUUUUUUAUUUUGUGUUUGAUAAAACAUUAAGUUAACUUAUUAGAUUUCCAUCUUUCUUUUUAAUAAGUCAUUCUCCAAAUUGUCUAAUUAUAGGGUUUUAUUACUUUGAUAAUUAUUUUUCUCCUUAUGGUAACUAUGCAAUCAACUGAACAUGUAUGCAAUUUAACAGGUUAAAAUGUACUGAUGGCUAUGCUGGUUGAUUAGCUAAAACAUAAGGUUGCACACAUGUGAUUGGCCUGAGUUUGUUGGAUAUGGAGUGGCAAUGAGAAAGUCUAGUGUGGCAUCUUAUGGUAAGGUCCUAUAGAUUUGACGGCCAACAACUUCAUUCUUUCUUAAAGUUGUGUUUUCUACUCAUAAGGAUUUCUCGUUCGUUGAUAGAAGAUACUCGUGGAAUAGUUCAGUUGGUUGCUCUACUGCAUAAAGAUGAUGCUAGUGGUAAAGAAGUUUCACUAUAUAACUUAAUAUUUUUAAAUUAUUCUUGCAUGUAGAUUAUGAUAUCUUCUUGUAACUUUCAACUACUUGCAAAUUUAUAACACAUUUUAUAAAAAUAUAGAUUGAAACCUCA
rnacentral:lncRNA from 1 species